GAUGAACGCUAGCGGCAGGCUUAAUACAUGCAAGUCGAGGGGCAGCAUGAUUGUAGCAAUACAAUUGAUGGCGACCGGCAAACGGGUGCGGAACACGUACACAACCUCCCAAUAAGUGGGGAAUAGCCCAGAGAAAUUUGGAUUAAUACCCCGUAACAUAACGAUGUGGCAUCACAUUGUUAUUAUAGAUUUUUCGCUUAUUUAUGGGUGUGCGGCUGAUUAGAUAGUUGGCGGGGUAACGGCCCACCAAGUCUACGAUCAGUAGCUGAUGUGAGAGCAUGAUCAGCCACACGGGCACUGAGACACGGGCCCGACCCCUACGGGAGGCAGCGGUAAGGAAUAUUGGACAAUGGACGCAAGUCUGAUCCAGCCAUGCCGCGUGAAGGAUUAAGGUCCUCUGGAUUGUAAACUUCUUUUAUAAGGGACGAAAAAAGGCUUUUCUAAGUCGUCUGACGGUACCUUAUGAAUAAGCACCGGCUAACUCCGUGCCAGCCGCCGCGGUAACAC
rnacentral:rRNA from 1 species